AACGAACGCUGGCGGCAUGCCUAACACAUGCAAGUCGAACGAGACCUUCGGGUCUAGUGGCGCACGGGUGCGUAACGCGUGGGAACCUGCCCUUAGGUUCGGAAUAACUCCCCGAAAGGGGUGCUAAUACCGGAUAAUGUCUUCGGACCAAAGAUUUAUCGCAUUUGGAUGGGCCCGCGUUGGAUUAGCUAGUUGGUAGGGUAAAAGCCUACCAAGGCGACGAUCCAUAGCUGGUCUGAGAGGAUGAUCAGCCACACUGAGACUGAGACACGGCCCAGACUCCUACGGGAGGCAGCAGUGGGGAAUAUUGGACAAUGGGCGAAAGCCUGAUCCAGCAAUGCCGCGUGAGUGAUGAAGGCCGUAGGGUUGUAAAGCUCUUUUACCCGGGAUGAUAAUGACAGUACCGGGAGAAUAAGCUCCGGCUAACUCCGUG
rnacentral:rRNA from 1 species